AUUGGACGCUGGCGGCAGGCCUAACACAUGCAAGUCGAGCGGAGCGGCGGACGGGUGAGUAAGGCCUAGGAAUCUGCCUGGCCGUGGGGGAUGAGGUACGGAACCGGGCGCUAAUACCGCAUACUAUCAGAUGAGCCUAGGGGGGAUUAGUUAGUUGGUGGGGUAAAGGCAUACAAAGGCGACGAACCGUAACUGAUCUGAGUGGAGGAUCAGCAACACGGGAACUGAGACACGGUCCAGACGCCUACGGGAGGCAGCAGUGGGGAAUAUUGGACAAUGGGCGAAAGCCUGAUCCAGCCAUGCCGGGUGUGUGAAGAAGGUCGUCGGAUUGUAAAGCACUUUAAUUUGGGAGGCGUUACCAACAGAAUAAGCACCGGCUAACUUCGUGCCAGCAGCCGCGGUAAUUC
rnacentral:rRNA from 1 species